GGUUCGAUUAUGGCUCAGAUUGAACGCUGGCGGGAUGCUUUACACAUGCAAGUCGAACGGCAGCACGACUUCGGUCUGGUGGCGAGCGGCGAACGGUGAGUAAUGUAUCGGAACGUGCCUAGCAGUGGGGAUAACUACGCGAAAGCGUAGCUAAUACCGUACGCCCUUCGGGGGGAAAGCGGGGGACCUUCGGGCUUCGCACUAUUAGAGCGGCCGAUAUCGGAUUAGCUAGUUGGUGGGGUAACGGCUCACCAAGGACGAUCCGUAGCUGGUUUGAGGACGACCAGCCACACUGGGACUGAGACACGGCCCAGACUCCUACGGAGGCAGCAGUGGGGAAUUUUGGACAAUGGGGAAACCCUGAUCCAGCCAUCCCUGCGUGCGAUGAAGGCCUUCGGGUUGUGUUAAUUUUGGCAGAAGAAACGGCACGGGAUAAUACCCCGUGCACUGACGGUACCUGCAGAAUAAGCACCGCGCUAACUACGUGCCAGCAGCCGCGGUAAUGUAGUGCAAGCGUUAAUCGGAAUUACUGGGCGUAAAGCGUGCGCAGGCGGUUCGGAAAGAAAGACGAAAUCCCAGAGCUUAACUUUGGAACUGCAUUUUUAACUACCGAGCUAGAGUGUGUCAGAGGGAGGUGGAAUUCCGCGUGAGUGAAAUGCGUAGAUAUGCGGAGGAACACCGAUGGUAUAAAGGCAGCUUCCGGGAUAACACUGACGCUCAUGCACGAAAGCGCGGGGAGCAAACAGGAUUAGAUACCCUGGUAGUCCACGCCCUAAACGAUGUCAACUAGCUGUUGGGGCCUUCGCCUGGUAGCGCAGCUAACGCAAGUUGACCGCCUGUGGCAUACCCGCAAGAUUAAAACUCAAAGGAAUUGACGGGGACCCGCACAAGCGGUGGAUGAUGUGGAUUAAUUCGAUGCAACGCGAAAAACCUCCACUUACCCUUGAUGUUCAACCUGAAGAGAUUUGAGCGCCUGCAAGAGAACCGGAACACAGGUGCUGCAUGGCUGUCGUCAGCUCGUGUCGUGAGAUGUUGGGUUAAGUCCCGCAACGAUGUGCACCUUUACGCUGCUGCUACGAAAGGGCACUCUAAUGAGACUGCCGGUGACAAACCGGAGGAAGGUGGGGAUGACGUCAAGUCCUCGCGGCCCUUAUGGGUAGGGCUUCACACGUCAUACAAUGGUCGGGACAGAGGGUCGCCAACCCGCGAGGGGGAGCCAAUCCCAGAACCGAUCGUAGUCCGAUCGCAAAUUGCAACUCGACUGCGGUGAAGCCGGAAUCGCUAGUAAUCGCGGAUCAGCAUGUCGCGGUGAAUACGUUCCCGGUCUUGUACACACCGCCCGUCACACCAUGGGAGUGGGUUUUACCAGAAGUAGUUAGCCUAACCGUAAGGAGGGCGAUUACCACGGUAGGAUUCAUGACUGGGGUGAAGUCGUAACAAGGUAG
rnacentral:rRNA from 1 species